rnacentral:rRNA from 1 species
GACGAACCGUGCGAACGUUGUUCGGAAUCACUGGGCUUAAAGGGCGCGUAGGCGGGUCGGAAAGUCCGCGGUGAAAUCCCCCCGCUCAACGGGGGAACGGCCGCGGAUACUGCCGGCCUCGAGGGGGGUAGGGGCGAGCGGAACGCUGGGUGGAGCGGUGAAAUGCGUUGAUAUCCAGCGGAACUCCGGUGGCGAAGGCGGCUCGCUGGACCUUCACUGACGCUGAGGCGCGAAAGCCAGGGGAGCGAUCCGG